rnacentral:lncRNA from 1 species
AGGUUGGGAGGCAGUUGCUUGUCCUGGCUGUGCAGUACUGCCCCCAUCCCUAGAAGUAAGAUGAAAUGACCUCGGCCUCCAGAGAGGAUCAUGAGAAGGUAAGAGCAAUGGCAGCUGGCAACCUGCCCAGCCUGAGGGUUCAACCCUACGCAACUGAAGCAAUAAGGAUGUGUGCUGAGUGCCAGAUUGUGGGUGUGCACCUAAAACUGCUGCCUCCCGCUGAGCCCAUUCACAUACCCCUGGGGUCCACCACAUGCUCCCUGACUGUUGUCAAGCACUGUCUUCCUCACGGGUCUCAUAACCCGCAGCAGACCCACCUGUCAGUGGCUGCAGCUGGACCAGGGCACAGCCACGGCCUGUGGCCAUCACAUGGAAACGGCUGAGGGUCCUUUUGACACCUUCCUGGAUGUCCUUUCGAGAUGGGGACAUCACUGGGACUGCCUAGGGUACCAGUCAAGAAUGACUUAACACAUCCCUAGGACUUUGUUGAGCACCACCCCCCACCCCCUGCUGCCAGUUGCCAGUUGAUGUAGGACAGGGCCUCCACAAUGGCAGCAGCCAUUUGCCUGUUAGGAGACAGCAAAACUAGCCACCCCAGGUGCACAGCCUGGACUCCUCUGUAAGGCAAAAACCGAAGGGACACCACUUCCCUGGUGGUCUCUGACUUACAAGAUCAACGUCAUUCAUUUGUUCCAUCUUCAGAGGCAUGCAGACUGUCCCCUCUGAAGGCUCAGGGAUGCCAUCAGUGACAGCACUAAGAAAGGGAAAGGAGGUCUCAGAGCAGCCUGGUGGGACCUUCCCUCAGUCCUGGGAGUGACCCUGCACCUCUCACCAGUAGGUGGCUGUGGGUCUCUGUGCUCUCCUUGAGUGGAUAAAGAACUUCUGCAGGCGGCUUGCUGUCUGGGGACAGCUGGAGAGGAGCACAAGUCCGGAGGCCUCCCUGGAAGAAGGGGACAAAUCACAUAAAGCCUCUUGGUCUUGAAAACGAGCUCUAGAUGGCUGCUCUUGCAGAGGACCAGCAUUGAGCACCCGCAUGGUGGCUCACAACUAUCUGCGAUUCCAAUUCGAGAUCAGAUGCCGCCUUCUGGCCUCUGAGGGCACCAGAUACACACUGUGGUGCAUAGACAUACAUGCAGGCUAAACACACUAUACACAAUAAGGAUAACCCCCAUCCCCAACUAAAGGCUGGACAGAAACACCAGGACUAGAAUCCAGACCUGAGAAACAAGUCAUAAGGCCUUUUCUCUCUCCCUCAAGAGAGAGAGCCGAAUGCGCUAAGAGUUAACACCAAUGUCCAGGGCCUACCAUGUAUCAGGCAUUUGAAUAAGACUUUUACUUACAGUGGGUGUAACAUACACCCCACACUAUCACUUACUUCCCAGGUGCUCGCACAACCUGGAGCUCCUGGUGUUCGAGCCCCAGGGCCUGGCUCAGCUGCGGCAGCACAGAUAGCAGCGUCAGCUCUCCUGGUCUCCCUGGGAGGGAAGAGGACAAGCUGCCAGCGUGCCAUCCAACCAUCUCUACCCCAGCCUUGCCCUCCUCCCUGCCCAUGCCCAUACCUGUCACAGGCAGACCCUGUGGCUUGUUCAGUGUCACCAGAGGUCCUGAAACAGUUCAUGGAUGUCAGCAAAAGCAGGGAAGCAUGUCUGCAUGCAGCCUCGGGGGUGGGGUUGGGGGUGGGGGUUAUACAAUCCAACCCCACUUUAAAUAGCACUUCCUAAUCCCUGUACCUCGGAGCCUUCAUACCUGCAGUUCCAGGCUUCCAUUCCCAUUGGCUCCAACAUACCUCAGUAUAAUGUGUGCCCCUCCUACAGUCCUUGACUGUUGCGGGUGGAGGGGGGCUCAAACACCAAGUCAGCCUCAAAUUCACUACACAGCUAAGUCUGGUCCUGAACUCCUGAUUCUCCUUGCCUCUACCUCCCAAGUUCUGGAAUUACAAGUGUGGUUACCACGCCAGCAGCGAUUGCUCAGUAAUUCUCACAUUAGGACGCUGGAUCUCGCAAGGCAGGGGCCAUAUUUAUCCCAGAACUGUGAAGCCCCUCACUGCUACAUGAACAUACAGUCGUGAAGCAACAUGUGGGUGCUGACUGCUGGUCCUCUCUGCAAGAGCAGCCAUCUAGCCCUCUUAUGAAACCAAGAGGCAUGCCGCUUACAGAGGCCAGCUAUAACUAACCCCAAAGCUUUUUCUGAUAGUUAACUUCUGUUACAGCUGCUCUCAGAACACAGGGAGGAGUGAGGUAUACACCUCUCCUCGUGAUGGUGAGGCUAGGAAGAAUGUGACUGCUGGCCUGGCUCCUGCAGCAACAGGGGAGGCACAGGAGCAGCAGGCUCCCCUCACCUUUCUGAUCCACCACAGCUGCCCUCAGGACAUGAGCCAGCUCCUCCAGGCCGAGGUUCUCCGUCCUCAGCAGCCCCGGGAAGGGCUGGUCCUCGACUAGGUCCUUGUGCUUGCUGGAGCGGUGAGGUUGAGACGGACGCCUGAGAAACAUGGUAGAAGCCUGUACCUCCCUCCCUUGCUCACCCUGCCUAGUCCAGCCUCUUCUUAGAACUCCCGGGCUCAGCAGACAGGAGUCCACCUACCCCCCAAGACUUUACCAAAGAGGCACCAAGGCUCAAAGGUCCAAUGACCUAGUGCCGGGUCUCACAACAUAGUCCGGCUUAGAACCAAGUACUGAUCUGAAUUUCAUGCCUGCCCUCUCCUUGAUCUAGUCUCUCCCCAUACACGGAAGUGGAGUGUUAUAAUCACCGGGCCUCGGUGCCGAAGCCGGCAUCCCUCUGCCGUGCGCAAGACCCCAGCUCCGGCCGCCAGAUCAUAGAGACAUAACGCAAAACUCUCAGGGCUCCCAUUGCCGGGGACCAAGCACAGUACGCAUGCGUGUCCACGGACAGCUCAACCCCACCUCCCGUACAUCCUCCGUGCGUAGAUUGGUCAGGCAGGCUGUCAAUCAAGGCAGAGGGCGCUCAGACGAGCGAGAAUCCGGGCUUUGCCUCCCCUGUAGAAGAAAAAGUGCCAUUUAGGGUUCUGGCUUUUGGGAAAACUGAGGCACGAGGCGGGUUAUUUACUCAAAGUAGAGGACGUGUCUUAGAAUAAAAAGGGUCGAGAAGACUGUC